rnacentral:rRNA from 1 species
AACGAACGCUGGCGGCAUGCCUAACACAUGCAAGUCGAACGAAGGCUUCGGCCUUAGUGGCGCACGGGUGCGUAACGCGUGGGAAUCUGCCCUUUGGUUCGGAAUAACAGCUGGAAACGGCUGCUAAUACCGGAUGAUGACUAAAGUCCAAAGAUUUAUCGCCAGAGGAUGAGCCCGCGUUGGAUUAGGUAGUUGGUGGGGUAAAGGCCUACCAAGCCGACGAUCCAUAGCUGGUCUGAGAGGAUGAUCAGCCACACUGGGACUGAGACACGGCCCAGACUCCUACGGGAGGCAGCAGUGGGGAAUAUUGGACAGUGGGCGCAAGCCUGAUCCAGCAAUGCCGCGUGAGUGAUGAAGGCCCUAGGGUUGUAAAGCUCUUUUACCCGGGAAGAUAAUGACUGUACCGGGAGAAUAAGCCCCGGCUAACUCCGUG